rnacentral:rRNA from 1 species
CCUACGGGCGGCAGCAGUGGGGAAUAUUGGACAAUGGGCGAAAGCCUGAUCCAGCCAUGCCGCGUGUGUGAAGAAGGCCUUCGGGUUGUAAAGCACUUUCAGUGGGGAAGAAAGCCUUGGGGCUAAUACCCUCGAGGAAGGACAUCACCCACAGAAGAAGCACCGGCUAACUCCGUGCCAGCAGCCGCGGUAAUACGGAGGGUGCGAGCGUUAAUCGGAAUUACUGGGCGUAAAGCGCGCGUAGGCGGUCUGAUAAGCCGGUUGUGAAAGCCCCGGGCUCAACCUGGGAACGGCAUCCGGAACUGUCGGGCUAGAGUGCAGGAGAGGAAGGUAGAAUUCCCGGUGUAGCGGUGAAAUGCGUAGAGAUCGGGAGGAAUACCAGUGGCGAAGGCGGCCUUCUGGACUGACACUGACGCUGAGGUGCGAAAGCGUGGGUAGCAAACAGGAUUAGAUACCCCAGUAGUC